rnacentral:rRNA from 1 species
UGGGGAAUUUUGGACAAUGGGGGAAACCCUGAUCCAGCCAUCCCGCGUGUGCGAUGAAGGCCUUCGGGUUGUAAAGCACUUUUGGCAGGAAAGAAACGUCAUGGGUUAAUACCCCGUGAAACUGACGGUACCUGCAGAAUAAGCACCGGCUAACUACGUGCCAGCAGCCGCGGUAAUACGUAGGGUGCAAGCGUUAAUCGGAAUUACUGGGCGUAAAGCGUGCGCAGGCGGUUCGGAAAGAAAGAUGUGAAAUCCCAGAGCUCAACUUUGGAACUGCAUUUUUCACUACCGGGCUAGAGUGUGUCAGAGGGGGGUGGAAUUCCGCGUGUAGCAGUGAAAUGCGUAGAUAUGCGGAGGAACACCGAUGGCGAAGGCAGCCUCCUGGGAUAACACUGACGCUGAUGCACGAAAGCGUGGGGAGCAAACAGG